GGCAGUUAUUGUGCUAUAAGCACUAGGGUUAUCAUGGUAAACAAAACCCUUAUAGUGCUUGUCAUCAUGAAAUGUAUUAUCUAGGAGGACAGUGAGUGGGUAGGAUAGGGCUUGUAGAAGUUCUUGACUCCUUUGAAACCGGAGGGCCUCUCAUUUACAUUCCUUGCGGCAUGACAAAGUGCUAAGAACGAAGCCAAAUGAAAAUUAAAUAUAUUCCCUAUUAAAAAGAAAAUAUCACAGCACUUCUUUGAACGAGGGGUUAAAGGAUUGGCUGCUCCAAAAAUAAAAUAAACCUCCAAAAUGUGUAUCAUUUAUAUUCUCUCCAUGUCAACCGGCUUUCCAGAUUUUAGAGGGCUUCAGCUGACACUAAAGGUGUAUUAAGUGUUCAGAGGAUGGAGGGGUUCACCCUCAUGUACCGUCUGUUUUCUGCCAUCCAGGGUCUGCACUUAACAGCUUAGGAGGUAGCCAGUUAACCUUUCUGAAACAUAGCCUGUCUGGUCUCGUUAAUCACAGUGAACGAGUGUCCUUUCACUCCUGUUUUCUCCUCCCCAGCGUCUUCGUCUUCCACAUUUGCACACACGUACCAGCUUCUAACUGGACAUCAGUGUAAACACCGUGACGGCUUAGGCAAAAGUCUGUGACUGAGGCGAGGGAGUGUAUGGAGUGUGUUUAGUCUCUGGCCAAGACUUAUAGGAGUUUAGGUUUCCUGUGAUUGACUAUGUACUCCUCCCUCUCUCUCCCUCCAACUUCACUUCUCUGGCCCAGAUCAAUGUCAUCCAGUUAAGUGAGUCUGUUAUAUGAAAGCUCUCUGUUGACCUUGCCUUCCUGAUUGAUUGCAUGCAAAAUGCACAGGAGUGAGGUGUCUAGGAAGAGAACUGUCCUGCCACUGCCCUUGCCACCACACCCUGAGAUCACUGGGGCUUCCUGCAGAGACGUAGGCUACUUGUGGAGAAGCGAGACCUGAGAACACUCAGGGAACCACAAGGAAGCUGAAAGCUGCAUCCAGCCCUUCUCCACGCCUGUGGGCAUCAUUCAUAAAGGGAAGACAGCAGUUGAAAGGUUUGUUGGCCUUCAAGACAUUCCUGAAGGAGACAGUGACCAGAUCCUCAGAUGUCUGUGGGUAUCGAGCUGAUUUUUUAACCUCUACUUGUUACCUCUAGGAUAUUCUUCCCACCUUGACCUCUGAGAAUCCCUGGAAUUUGUGUUGUGUUUUGUUUUGGUUUUUUUCCUUUAAGUUGGAAAUUACAUCAUGAAUGGACUUUGACCUAGAAUAAGAAGUUUAUUUUAACACUGUAUGUCUGAAAAUAUUUUUCUCACCUGAGUGCAUUUCAUCUCGUCCUUGAUAAACUUACCUUUUCCUCCAUUUCCAUGAGGGGAAAGAGGUUUUAUUAGCAAAACACUCUACCAAUAGAGAACACUGUAAACUUGCAUUUUUUUCCUUCUCUCACCAUAGAGAAGUAUUUUUUUUUUAAAGACAACAGAUUUAUGGCAGCAGAAGAUACAAAGUAUCAGCAAUUAAAGUAUCAGCUCUCUGUGUCUUGCCCCCCCUGAGUCUUCAUGAAGUUUUCCGUGUCAUUUCAUAUAAAUCAACUCUGAAAUAAAGCACUUAAAUGUAAAAUAUGAAUUCAGUUAUAACGAUACAUGACGCCAAUCAGAAAAUAUUUUGGAACAAAUAAAAUGAUUUUAACAGAGGAAAUUGCCCACAAGUCUGUGUUUUCCAAAUACAUAGAGAUUGGCUCAAAGUUAGAGCUACAACCAACCUGUGAAGAAAAAAAAUCCUACAAUUAAUUCAUAGUAUUAGCUAAUGCAGGCACAAAUUUACGUUUUGGGAGCACUUGGGCAAAGCAUAUCUCAUUUGGUAUCUUAGAGAAUAUACAAGGCUUUUCUUCCUACAUGGUACAGUUCAGCUAGUCAGGAGGCAAGGUUUUAAGUACAGUUACUCUUUACCUUCUUUCCCUAUGACUCCCUGAAUGAUCUCUUUUUGCCAAAACAACUACUGUGAUACAUUUCUGAUGUGACGUUAGAAAAUAAGAGAUUCAUAGAUUAAAAUAAGUGGUAGGCAAAAUUGCGUGUGGACCUCAAUAAAACACAAAGCAACAGUUAUUUAAAACAUAUAAUUUUAUUUUAUAUUCUGUAUCAUUCAGGGAGUAAUAAUAAGCAAGAGCUGCCGUGUCUUAGUUCUUCACUGAGUUUUGGCAUCUGUGAUGGGUGCUUCAUAAAUUUAUAGUUUCUGAUGUUUGAAAAGCCUGAAAGUUAUGUAUAUUGUCACUCAUAUUUUACAGAGAAGAAAACAAAGUAGGUUAACAGUAGUGGAGCAGUUAUCUAACUCUAAACCUGAGGUUUGAAAGGUUGUGGUUUUAGCAGCAUUCUGAUCACUGAAUGGAAUAUUAUGUAACUCUUUAAAAUGCAUGGAGAAUAUUUAUUAUUAAUGUCACCUAUGUGCCUUUUGUACCACGAGUUUACACUUACUACCUUAAGUCUUACAAUUUGUUUACACUCCUAGGAAACCAUUAGUGAUUUCCACAUAAGAGUGGCCGCCAGGAUCCGGCAUGGCCCAGAAUGCUCACUAAAUAAACCCCCUGUGAAUGAUUGUUGAAUAAACAAGGAUCUUUCUUAAAGCUCAUUAAUAAUACAGAGUUUGUAGAAUAAGCAUAGCCUUAACGAAUAUGAUCUCUCAGGAAUGGCUUACAUUGCAUAUGUCAGUAUGGGUUUACAUUUCAAAAUAAGUGUAAAUAUAUAUUUAUUGUACUUGUUCUCAAUGCUGUUGUCACUUAGUGCCCAAUAUUUGUCACUUGAUCAAGUUAGGGAUCUCCUGUACAUGAAUAAUAUCCCUAUUUUAAACCUAGGGUGGGCUAAACAUGAGUCUUUUAUUAGUAGCAUACUUUAAAAUAUUUUAGGUCAAAAUUUACAGAUGGGUGAAAAUGUGCAGCUUAUAUUUUCCUAAUUAAUUUUUUUUAAACAACUGUAAUUAUUUCUAGUUCUGUAUUCUUCAGAUAUUUAACAUACUACAAUGUCCAGGUAUUGUAUAGUUUGAAAUUCAGUCAAUACUUUUCAUUUCUUAUCAGAUACCAAUAUACCUCUUCUUGGCCCAUCUGGGACAUUCAUUAAUUUGAAAGAGAAAAGGAAGAAGCCAUUAGGCACUUUUGUUGAAGUUCUCAUUUCUGAGGCUCACUAAAUGUCUUCUUUGAAAAUCAGGAAAAGCUAAAACAUAAGUCGUGUGCCUACAUUGUCAACAGAUUGUGCCACUCUGUUAAGCUGUUAAAUUAGGAUUUAUGCAAAAUAAUUUAUGUAUAGAAUGGCCAAUACUGUUUUUCUCCAGAAUAGUGUAGUAUCUCAGGUCUUGAUUUUCAGUCUUCUAGUUUGUAGUAGUUUUCCAUUAAAAAAGUUGUUUAACAUUUAUUGAAUUGCUCCUGUGUGCAAUAUAAGUGGGAUAAUGUGUGUAAAACACCUUGGAAAACGCAAAGUCCUGUACAAAUGUAAAGCGUUGCUAUUAAUAUUAUGUCCCUGAAUAAUUUCUAAUCUCUCCAUAUGAGUAGAGUGUUGCCUGAUGAUUCUUUGUCAUACAUUUGCACCUUAAUAAAUCCUUAUUCUGCUUAUUUUUAGUCCUUCAUGUUGUUGCUACUGUAAGUGGCAUAAAGAUUUCCACUAACUUCAUAAUUCAAAAAUGAAGAUGACUGAGUUGGCCAGGAAAACAAUAGAGCUUUAGAGUCAGGACUCCAGAUUUUAAGUCCUGGAUGUGCUACUUGUUAGCUGUUCAAGCUCGGGCAGCCAUUUAAUCUGUUGGAGUCUUAGUUUCCUAUCCAUAAAAUAUGGAUUAUAUUCUACGUCUUAAUUUACUCACUGAGACUAUUGUGAAAGUGUAGAGAGAUAGUAUAUGUGAAGCUUAUGUGAUCUUUGUAGGUAUAUAUCAAUUAUAUCUUUUUAAUUAUAAAUGUGUGGCUCUCAACUCCGUAUAAUGUCUAUCCUCUUCCUCAGAGGGUCUAUCAGUGCAAAAAAAGAGAAAGAAAAAAGUCAGUGCCUAAUUGGAUCCUGAAAUUGACAAACUUUUCCCUUCUGGUGUUAGAGACAACAGUUUUGUCCAUUUCAGGGCACUCUCUAUGGACCAGCAGAACCUGGCUUCUGUACUGGUACAAUCUGUCUUAAAACUGACCAAAGCUUCAGAUGAUAUCUAUAAGGAAUACCCCAUCGUUUCGCAUUCACAGCAGAGGGGAGUGGAAAUGUGUUACAAUCUUCCUUUCAGUUAGGUUUAGAAAAUGUGGUAUUGUGUAAAAAGAGAAAUACAGAGAGCAAUUCUUUCUUCUCUACAGCUUAAUGACUCGCUUGCUUCCAUUAAAAAUAAUUAGAAAUGCCUGUGUAAAUGACAUGCACCGUGUACAUAAAUGAGUCGCUUUUAUUACAUUUGGAGAAAUAUCCUGUAUAAAUCCAAUUUCCAAAUAGCUCUCUGCAUGGGAACCAUAUAUGUUAAUAUAAAAUAUUCUGAUUUAUAAUGAAAUCAAUUUUUUUCAAUGAAUUCUUUCAAUCAAAGUUAAAGAAAGGUAAUAGUGGGUUACUUCUGGGCACUGAGAUUUAAUGAAGACACUCACAAUAGGUACUGACUUAAGAAGUUUUAUCAGGUUCACACUUGAAGACCAUGUGAACACAUUAUAUGCACAUCUUCAUCUUUAAAUUGGAUUUUAAAAUGUUUUAAUUUUAGCCGAUUUAGUUUAAUAGGUUUUAAUUUUAGCAUCACCUGUUAGAAACCGAAGACCCCCCUCCCUCCUCCAUCACAUUUGCCUGUUCCUAUCUAAAAUUUACAUCUAAAAUUUUGAGAGUUUCAUUUAAUGUGAGAAAGUGUUUUAAACAGAGGUACAUUCCAUGCACUUUCUUUGAUAAAACAUUGAACUCUCUUAACUACACAUAAAGGAACAGGGACCAGCAAUAAAAUCUAAAGAUCUCCAAUACCCAAAACAAAUUGUGGAAUCUCUUUGGUCAAAUUUUUAACAACCGGAAAAAUAUAGUAAUUCUAAAGAAUACAGGUUCUGAAAUCUUUGAAUGAAUCACAAGUUGCAAUUAUUAUGCCAGUUGAGUAUUUGAACUUAUAGACCCACCUUGACACCGUCAUUAAAUCAUAAAUGGUUUGUUCUUUUAUGAAAUGUAAAUGGAUUUAAAUAGCAUUUCAUUUGUGCUUUUACAUUCACCAAAUAGUACCUCUUGUUAAGCCUAUCCAAUCAUUUAAGCUCUAUUCAGUCAAUCUUUUUUUUUUUUUAACUCACUAAUCAUACAAAUGAUUUUCCCUUCUUGCCCUUUUCAAUCUGGUGAACAUUUUUUAAGAACCUUAGAGUGAGUAAGGAUAACUAACUCCUGCAGUUUUAAUAUCUCCUUAUUGAAUUUUGAUAUCAUAGUUUUAAUUUAAUCAUAAAAUGCACCAUAUAUAUGACAACUUUGGCAGAUUCAAUUUUUUAAAACUAAAAAAAUGGCAUUGUAAUUGAAAUAGAAUAUUAACUGGGAAUGGUAGUGGAGAUUUCCUGUCUAUCAUUUGCUUUCAGAUUGUUUAUUAAUAACAAGAUUAGCCUAUAGGUAAGAAUAUUGUUGAUCAGCCAGACAUCUUUAGCUUUGAGUUAACAGAUUAAUGAUUUCCAAAGAUCUCUGUAAUAAGCAGGGAUAUGCAGCCGAUUUUGUCCACAUUUUAAAAAUUCCUUAACCCAGUUACUAGAUGCCUUAAAAAUCUAGACAGGUGUUGCCCCAGUUUACAUAGUUGAAAAUGAAUACCUAAGCACAACUUAAAAAUUUAAAAGAAAGAUUUAUUCAACAUCAUUCAGUAUUUUUUUGUUUUUUUUGGGGUUUUUUUGUUUUUACCAUUUGUAUUACUCUCAUUUUUUUCACAGAUUAAAAACAUUGUUCAAGUUUAAUAAAGCUCGCCGUGUAUUGUUUCCAUCCACUUAUUAAAAAGUGCACUGUUGGAUAAAGACAUUUGGAAAACUCUCUUUGAGAAGAAUGUUGGAAUUCUUAUUUGUGACUCUGUGGGUUAAGGACCAGACGUUGUCUCUGUGAGAAUGGGGGUUCGAUCCCUGGCCUCACUCAGUGGGUUAGGAAUCUGGUGUUGCUGCAAGCUGCAGCAUUGGUCGUACGUAGAUGCAGCUUGGCCGUGGCUGUGGCAUAGGCCUCAGCUGUGGAUCCGAUUUGACC
rnacentral:lncRNA from 1 species